CACUAGGUGUCUGAAAGUAAGUAAUGGUCUCUUAAACCAAACAUAGUAAAAUCACAAAUACUUCUAGUG
rnacentral:tRNA from 1 species